AUUUUGUUCAGAGAAUUUCUUUGCUGUGAUAAGGAUUUUUUGAAACUGUAAGACUUGCCUUAUGGCCUAGAACUUUCCAUUUCUGUAAAUGUUCCCUGUGUACUUGAGAGAAACAUAUAUUCCUUUAUGGCUUCAUGGAAAGCAUUGGUAUGCAUUAAAUCCUGCCUCUUAGCGUUUUGUUCUCAUCCCUUCUCUGCCCUUGUUUGGCCUGACACAAAUGGAGAGUGGGUUUGAAAAUCUCUUCCUGCAGCUCUGUGACUGUAUGCUUUAUAUAUUUUAUAGCACUUUUAUAGGUUGUCUACAAGCUGAGCACUGUUGAGGAUAGUCCUUUCCUGUCCUACAUGAUGCCAUUGUUCCAAAGUCCCUCUUGCCUGUUGCUAAUGGGAUUAUCCCAGGUUUCUUCUGAUUAAUGCUCUCUGUUCUUUCAUUUUAAGAUGUUAAGGUGUCUUUCUGACUUCAAUAUGUCUCCUGUAAACUGCUGAAUUAUAAAAGUCAGAUGCUUGGCAAGUUCAAUCUACUAUUGAUUUAUUGGGGCUGGCUUUCCUUCAGUUUGUUAAUCUGAAAUCUACUAUAUUUUUUUUAUCAUUGCAGUUUUGUACUUUGUAAAGCUCUCAGAUACUAACUGGCUGGCCCCUCUAGCCAGACGCCC
rnacentral:lncRNA from 1 species